UACGUAGGGUGCAAGCGUUAUCCGGAUUUACUGGGCGUAAAGAGUCGCGUCGGCGGCAUAAUAAGUGACCGGUUCAAGCCUGGGGCUCAACCCCAGAAAAGCUGGUCAUACUAUUAAGCUUGAGAAUGCUAGAGGGAACUGGAACUCUAAGUGGAGGGGUGAAAUCCGUAGAUAUUUAGAGGAACGCCAAAGGUGAAGACAGGUUCCUGGGACAUUUCUGACGCUCAUGCACGACAGCUCGGGUAGCAAAAGGG
rnacentral:rRNA from 1 species